AAAAAAAAAGAGGUAAUAAAGCAUAGAAGUUUGUAGAACACAAGAAGAGCCAUUAACCAAUCAUGUGAUGUGUAGCACAAAGAGCACAGUUGCAAUGCAUGCGUGAGAGUCAAAAUGUUUGCAACUAUCCUAUGGUAUGCAGUAGAAAAAGCAAAGCAACUAAUUGCAAUACAUGUGUGACAGAAUGUUCCUGAUCACCUCUUACAAUCAAACUUAUUUCUUCUUCCCCCAACUUUUUAUGGAGAAAAAAGAAAAGAAACUGAAUUGUAUUUUAAUGUUUUCUCUCCAAUUUCAAGUUGCAUUAGCAUUAAACAAACAAUGCACAGUAAACGUUAGGCAAGACUAAAUGCGAGUUCAUCAAAGAUUCCCCAAGUUUUUAUUAAUGAGCUAACAUAGACCGUUAAGAAAUUAUAGGUAGGUAGUUACGCCAAACUUUGUCUACAAUAAAUUCUACAAUAUUACGCAAUUUCUAUACAAAUAAAGAUAAGAUAAAUGCAAAAUUGGGUAAUUUCCAUCUCCUAUCAUCAAAGAUCCUCACCAUGUUUCAGCAAAGUGAGAAUCAAACUUUAACCUAUAGAGUAUUGAACAUAGCAUUUGAAGAGAAUUUCAGGUAAAACAAACUAGCAAUACUCUAAAAACCAGAAGGUAUGGGAAAAGAGGGAAGAGUUUUAGACCUUGCAGAUCUGAGAAACAU
rnacentral:misc_RNA from 1 species